AGUAUAAUUGCUGGAUCUUAUGGUAAGAAUAUGUUUCAUUUUGUAAGAAUCCCUCAGACUUUUUUCCAAAGUGGCUGUACCAUUUGACAUUCCCAUCAGCAAU
rnacentral:pre_miRNA from 1 species